rnacentral:rRNA from 1 species
UACGUAGGUGGCAAGCGUUGUCCGGAUUUACUGGGCGUAAAGGGCGUGCAGGCGGUUUGUUAAGUGCAGGGUGAAAGCUCCCGGCUCAACUGGGAGAGGUCCUUGCAUACUGGCAGACUUGAGGGAGGCAGAGGAAAGUGGAAUUCCCGGUGUAGUGGUGAUAUGCGUAGAUAUCGGGAGGAACACCAGUGGCGAAAGCGGCUACCUGGCCCAUUCUUGACGCUGAGGCGCGAAAGCUAGGGGAGCAAACGGG